rnacentral:rRNA from 1 species
GACGUAGGGCGCAAGCGUUGUCCGGAUUUAUUGGGCGUAAAGAGCUCGUAGGCGGCUUGUCGCGUCGACUGUGAAAACCCGCGGCUUAACUGUGGGACUGCAGUCGAUACGGGCUAGCUAGAGUUCGGUAGGGGGAGACUGGAAUUCCUGGUGUAGCGGUGAAUGCGCAGAUAUCAGGAGGAACACCGGUGGCGAAGGCGGGUCUCUGGGCCGAUACUGACGCUGAGGAGCGAAAGCGUGGGGAGCGAACAGG